rnacentral:tRNA from 1 species
GGGGGUAUAGUAUAGUGGUAAUUAUAUUAGUUUUGCACGUUAAAGACCUGAGUUCGAUUCUCAGUACCUCCA